GGCGGUGCGGAGGCAGCGGCGGGAGGCGCCGGGACGGAGCUCCUUACAUAAGCGAGGAGUGCCCGUGUCCCGCUCCCUGAUUUUGUACGCGCCCCAGGCUUUCGAAACGUGCCGGCUGACAGCGCGGAGCUGCCUUCCUCCUGCUCUUAGCGAGCCUGGAAUCACCACAGAAAGGUUUAACGCUAAGAGUCUCUGAGGCGUUCAAGGUCUGAAAAUACAUAUCCAGUUGCCUUGGUGCCUUUUGAUCCACGUUUUUCCCAGACAAGAUGCCUUCUCAGACAAAAUUUGAAGUCCUGCUGGAAAGCGGAGGAGGAUGAAAUACCUUACCUGCCAAAAUUCUUUCUGAAGGCUGGCAGGAAGCUCACAUGCUCUCAGUGCACAUCUUCAGCAAAAAGUGUGCACAGCCAGUACAUAGUAGAAUAAUGGAAGAUAGAUCUAUCUGAAAAAGGCCUCAGGAGGUCAUCUUUGCCAUUAUUUUAUCUCCAGGCAGGACUGACCUCUACUUCAGAUUUGAAACAGAUGUCUUCGGUGCAACUGUCGAUGUUCAAGAAUAAAGAAUGCUUUUGCUUAAUUCAUUAAGGGAAAAAAAGGAACAAAUGAAGAAGACAUUAAACUAUUCUGACUGCCUUGUAUGAACAAAUGCACUGAGUUGAACAAAAGAAAGCAGAUGCAGACCUGUCUUCUAAUUGUUACUUUUAUUAACUUGUCAGUUAUUUCCUUGAAGAUAUGAAUUGGAUUCAUUUAGACAUUUCUACACACCACAGAAUGAAGCACAAGGUUCAGUAACAGGUGCCAAUAAAAAAAAAAAAAACUCUAUUAGUAAUUUAUUUUUAUCCUUUCUAGGUUAGCUUGCUUGGAAAAAAAAAAACAUCAAAGCAGGACAAAUACUAAAUCCACUGGCUUAUUUGUAGAGCAAACUUUCAUGAUAUAUUGUCAUAAUUCUCUAUUUUGUGUGUUCCUGCCAUUUUGUGGUGAGUGUCCCCACGGAGGUUUUUUUUAUUGGUACCAAGACUGAAUCUUAUCCCUUCCGCUUGACUAAAAUAUCAGCAAUAUUCAGAGUUAUUCCAUUUAUUUCCUAGCUUACAAUUUCAUUAAUUAAAAAAAAAAAACAAAAACAAAAAAAACAUUUGUAGACUAUAUUAUGAACUGUUCCAUGAGGACUCAAACCAAUAAAGCUUGGAUUCACACCCAAAAUUGCUACAUUACUCCCCAGUCAAACAAAUACCACCAGUUUACCUCCCUUACCAUCUUGCAAGAUCAGUAAUGUUCCCUGUUCCAGCCACAUCCACUGCCCUUCUUCACCCUUUCACAUCUAGUGAACAUCAGACAGCAGACAGAACAUUUGCUAGUGUGGUGAAGCCUGGACCAUCCCUACAUAUGGCUGGAGACAGUAAGCAAGAUCUCCUGAGCUUCCCUUGGAGACUUUCCCUCAGCUGGAAACUGUAAUUUGGGUCUCGUAUCUACCUAGAUGCUGAUAUUGCAGCAACAUUUAGGAAUUCGUAUCUAUGAGGUCUUCAACACUCCUCUACAUUUAGCAGAAUAGUGAAGAUGCAGUCACGUAAGUUGAACUUCCCUGAGAGCACAGACUCAAUUUAAAAGGCUUGCAUCCAGACACUUCUUUUUCAGCCUCUAGUUUUGCUAUUGUUAUUCUAACACAACAUAGUUCUCUGGUAGAGGAAAAGGCUUCAUUCUCAGUAAAAGUAGUACAACAAAGGAGCAGGCAAUCAUUCAGCUCUCAAAGGACAUAGCUGCUUCUGUUCUUCUGCACUGUGUUUCAACUGCUCUGAAUGAAAUAAGAACACGAAAAACAUGGAGCAUUUUGAAAGUACAACUAAAAGCAUCCAACUCAAAUGUUUGUGUUGAUUAAACUUUAGAAUAAAAUUCCGAAUAUUUUUGCCUGAAAAUCUAUAUGUACGUUCAUUGAAUAACAAUAAUUAGUCCAAACACAUUAAGAAAAAACCCUCCUGGCAGAUUGUGGUGAAACUGUUCAAUGCUCAAUAAUCAGAGUACUUUGAAUUUUCUUACGAACAGCAGUUCCAAUGGGCUUCUAUCUGCAGAACAAACUUUCUGUAAAAUAGCAUUUGAAGAAUGUUUAACUUCAAGCUGAAAUAAAAUGGAUGAUUGAAUACGAAUGAACUUUCUACAUGCCUACACUACUGACUAACCAUUCUCAUAUGAUCAAUUAGAUGAUACAUUUUAAGGGGCAUUCAGGAUUUAUUUUGUAACAUCCCUUUCAAAAGAGAAUGGCAGCACACAAAGACUUACAUAACAGCAGUUAACAUGAUAUGCAACUUAGCAUUUAACAAACACCGGUAAUUUACCAUUUGCCCACUUUAUGCAUACUAUUUUAUAUUCCACUUAUGUUCUUAAUCUUUUCCAAGUAUUUUAAUAACCCUAGGAAAAAAAAAUUGAUAGUUUAUAUAUAAAAUUACAAUCUUCAGCUGAAAAAAAUGCUUGUGGCUUCAGAGAUCUUUCAGUUUAGAGCAACUCAAUAUCUGCUUCAGAAUUUAUACAGCAAACAUACCAAUCCUCAAGCACCAUUAUGAAGAGGUUUGUUUUUUCUUAGGUCAGGAUAACUGAUGAAGAAAAAAAGAUGCUGACAGAACAUAAAAUUGUGGAGAGAAAAAGAAUUCUAAACAAAAAAUUGCUUGUAACAUCAUUUCUCUAAUUUCAUUCCCCACAAACUCUCCAGUGCAAAAACAAAGAGGGAGAACUAGUGAUACUUCACUUCAUUAUUGUUUACAGAUAGCACCUCAAAAUAAAAAUUUCAUUUCUUUAGGACAGUAGUUUUAAGUUAAUCCAGCAGGAGGUCCACACUGACCAACUGCACAACAGACUUCCCAGCAAGGACAACUCUGAAGCUAUGGAUGGAUAGUCUGACUACCUGCUAUAUGCUAUGCAGUGAAAUACAGGCUUCUAAUCUGCACACAACUAAAACAAACAACCUCCAAAGAUAGAUUUGUACCAAAAAAAAAGAAAAAAAAGAAAACCUGUAGCAGAAAAAGAGACGUGGAUGUUUAAGAGUUUCUAAUUGGGUGAAUGAAUCCUCAUAGGUAACACAUGCCUUUUGCAGUAAAUUAAGAGGUUUAUAGGACAGUAGUUUAAAAAGACAUUCAUUACCAGAUUUUCUUAAAAAUUAAUCUGUUACUACCUCUUGGAGACUGCUUUCUAAACUGAACAGACCUUACAAAGAGCAUUGGCUAUAAGAGCUACACCUUAUUCAGUGCCUGAGUAUUCUACACUGAAUUUAUCUUGUUACAUUGACGGUACAGACAACCUAAAUGUAUUUCAACCUAUGGAAAACUUACUCUUUCUAUUCACUAUCAGGU